UGGUGUUUGGAUCGUCGCUGCCGGCUGGCUCCGUGCUCGCCCACCGAACUGUCGGCGCUCGAUCCUCCUCGGUUGUGCCUCGGGGCGGUAUGGUUCCCUCAGAGGCCGGUUCUUGUGCUGCCUACCCUUCGAGGGAAGAAGGCCAGGCCACACGACGUUCGCCCUCCACCCGGCGCCCCCGAAAGGGCGCCGGGGGACAACGGUGCGCCCCCCGUGUUCCACCGAUCCCCCGCCGGUCGCGUGGCGCCCGGGGACGCGCAGCGCUCUCGGACCCAGCGCACGCCGAGGACGAGGACUCACGUCCGAGUCCCCGAAAGAGAAGCCCCGACCCAACGAGCGACGGCCGCGCCCGUCCCCCGGCCGCCCAGGCGGCGCGCGGGGCGCGCGGCGUCCCAUGAGGAGUGCUACCUGGUUGAUCCUGCCAGUAGUCAUAUGCUUGUCU
rnacentral:misc_RNA from 1 species